UUGUGAGCAGUUGUUACUCUUUCAGUUUUUAAAAAACCUUUUACAUUGUAAGUACCCAAUCCAUUCUGUCCUGACGCAGUACAGUUUUGAUGUUAAUGUUGCUGAGAUGUCCUUAAUUUUCCGAACCUUCAUCUGCAUGUAUGUCUUUGUCUCUCUUGUCUAAUAUAAGCCAGUUAAGAUGCUUGAGACGAUCUUGCUUUAUAAAGCUAAGGUUCUAGCUUUAUGCUUUUGAAAAUGUUUACAGCACUAAAUGCUAGUCAGCUUUCUUCCCCGUAGCUUGUACACUUUCUUUGAAAAUCGAUCUAUUUGAAGAAAAACAGCCCUGUUUUUCUCGUCUUUGGUGUUGGGGGUUGGGGGGAGCUGGUGGGUGAGGGAAAGGAAGACCUUUUCUUUGUGUAGAGAGACUAAAGCCGUCACAGGAAACUAGAUUAAAACUGGAAAACAAGUCCUAGCUGGUUCCAGCAAACACCAACGUUAAGUGGGGGGUAUUUUCUAUGGUGGUUGGGCGGCUGGUGCGUCUUUUGCCUUUUGUUUGAUUUGACUGUAUUUUCCCUUUUGUCUCUUAAUGACGAUCACACCAUUGCUAUAUCCAGAGCAGUAAACAGUCCUCAGCGAAGCCGCCUUUUUGCCUACCCAACCCUGGAAAGUUUGCAGAAGUGGAAGGAGCAGAACGUGAGGGUGUAACUUACAAAAAGGUUCUGGGCCGGAGAAGGGGCGACGUUCGGGCACCCCCCGAAUGGACAAUCUUUCCUUCUGUCAACGGCAGGGGCAGGCCUAGUUUGACUCUGACAGUCCUCCCACUAAGGAAUUCCUGGUGACUGGAAGGGGGAGUGACUCAGGCCCUCAACCUCUAGCAGGUAAGGGAGCUGCCUCCUGGGUGGGCAUGCCCAGUUCCUCAGUGGGCCCAGCGCGGCCCAGCCUCCGAGGAAGCUCUGAGCAGCUGGCUUGGCUCGGAGGUAUUUUUAGCUACAGAUCCAGCCCCCCUCCAUCACAACAGUCGAGUCCAAAUCAAACGCACUCCAGGCAGGUGGGGCUGGGGUUCUGCCAGCCUCCUG
rnacentral:lncRNA from 1 species